UGGGGAAUAUUGCGCAAUGGGCGAAAGCCUGACGCAGCGACGCCGCGUGGGGGAUGAAGCUUCUCGGAGUGUAAACCCCUUUCGACCCGGACGAAUACCUCGCAAGAGGGGUGACGGUACGGGUAUAAGAAGCCCCGGCUAACUACGUGCCAGCAGCCGCGGUAAUACGUAGGGGGCCAGCGUUGCUCGGAAUUACUGGGCGUAAAGGGUCCGUAGGCGGUGUGGCAAGUCGGGAGUGAAAUCUCUGGGCUUAACCCAGAGGCUGCUUCCGAAACUGCCAUGCUAGAGUGUGAGAGAGGCGAGUGGAAUUACGGGUGUAGCGGUGAAAUGCGUAGAUAUCCGUAGGAACAUCCGAGGCGAAGGCGGCUCGCUGGAUCACAACUGACGCUGAGGGACGAAAGCUAGGGGAGCAAACAGGAUUAGAUACCCUGGUAGUCCUAGCCCUAAACCAUCAGGACUUGGGGUGUGCCCUGUACGGGGCACGUCCCGUAGCUAACGCGUUAAGUCCUGCGCCUGGGGAGUACGGUCGCAAGGCUG
rnacentral:rRNA from 1 species